rnacentral:misc_RNA from 1 species
GAGAUUGAAAUCCUGAACCUUUGGCGUCCAUCUCUCCAAUUAAUUUUUUUUUCCUUUGAACUUCAAAUCCUUCUUGGAUUCCUGGAGCACCAGACGACCCAUACCCCCCCCCCCUGGUGCAUAUAAAUUUUCGGUUUGUGCUGUUAAUGACUCAAUGUGAAGCUUUGUGCAGAUAUUAUUUAUCCUUAUUGAAAGGUGUUAUACCGGUUUGGUUGCUGAAUUAUUCUUGUUUACCCAUUAGCGCACUUAAAUCUGUGCACUGUUAACCUGUGUUAUCUUGGGUUUUGUUUCAUUGGCAUAGUUAGGUUUCGUUUUAUACAUAACUCAGCUAAGCCAUUAUCCCAAAAAUUUAUUUGGGACAACUAUAUGAUUCUCUUUCUCUACUCUAAACUAUUUUGGGGUAAAUCCUAAAAAAUGUGAAAUCGUCAAAAACUUUAUACUUAUAAAUGUGAAAUCGUCAAAAACUUUAUACUUAUAAAUGUGAAAUCGUCAAAAACUUUAUACUUAUAAAUGUGAAAUCGUCAAAAAC